GACGAACGCUGGCGGCGUGCUUAACACAUGCAAGUCGAACGGAAAGGCCCUGCUUUUGUGGGGUGCUCGAGUGGCGAACGGGUGAGUAACACGUGAGUAACCUGCCCUUGACUUUGGGAUAACUUCAGGAAACUGGGGCUAAUACCGGAUAGGAGCUCCUGCAGCAUGGGGGGGGUUGGAAAGUUUCGGCUGUUGGGGAUGGACUAGCGGCUUAUCAGCUUGUUGGUGGGGUAGUGGCUGACACAGGUUUUGAAGGGUAGCCGGCCUGGGAGGGUGACCGGCCACAUUGGGACUGAGAUACGGCCCAGACUCCUACGGGAGGCAGCAGUGGGGAAUAUUGCACAAUGGGCGGAAGCCUGAUGCAGCAGCGCCGCGUGCGGAAUGACGGCCUUCGGGUUAUAAACCGCUUUCGCCUGUGACGAAGCGUUAGUGACGGUAAUGGGUAAAGAAGCACCGGCUAACUACGUG
rnacentral:rRNA from 1 species